rnacentral:rRNA from 1 species
AGUGAACGCUGGCGGCAGGCCUAACACAUGCAAGUCGAACGGCAGCACAAGAGAGCUUGCUCUCUGGGUGGCGAGUGGCGGACGGGUGAGGAAUGCAUCGGAAUCUGCCCAUUUGUGGGGGAUAACCUCGGGAAACCGGGACUAAUACCGCAUACGACCUACGGGUGAAAGCAGGGGAUCUUCGGACCUUGCGCAGAUGGAUGAGCCGAUGCCGGAUUAGCUAGUUGGAGGGGUAAAGGCCCACCAAGGCGACGAUCCGUAGCUGGUCUGAGAGGAUGAUCAGCCACCCUGGGACUGAGACACGGCCCAGACUCCUACGGGAGGCAGCAGUGGGGAAUAUUGGACAAUGGGCGCAAGCCUGAUCCAGCCAUGCCGCGUGUGUGAAGAAGGCCUUCGGGUUGUAAAGCACUUUUGUUGGGAAAGAAAAGCAGCCGGUUAAUACCCGGUUGUCAUGACGGUACCCAAAGAAUAAGCACCGGCUAACUUCGUG